UGUUUUGUCUUCUGGGCCUAUGGCUUGUUUGUAUUGCCACUUCUCUGGCACGAAGGGCCACUUCAUUUCCUUUGCCUCUUCAAUAAGGGUCCUUAGAUCAUCAGGGAGCGAAGCUGAAAAGGUCAAAGUGCAGCUGAAACUGCAUCACCCAUACAGAAAAUCCAUGGACCAAAUCUUCAUCUGCUAUACAGUAGGGCUGGCGGAGAGUGAAGGCACGGAAAGGUGGCUCAGUGGACUGGACAGAAGGGAUGACAGCUAUGCAGCAUACUCACCUCUUCCCUGUGCCAACAGCAACUCUCUGAUAACAAUUGUGGUAACACAUAAAUAGGAUUGAGGGAAACUUGGCUGACCACAAAGAGGCCAGAACUAAGAUCCUGCCUUUUUAUGUACAGUAGCCUUAAUAAACGAAGAGGAAGUUUCCCCUGGCCGAGGAGCAUGCUGGAGCCUGCCUGGAGACACUGCGUCCCAGAAGGUGCCACUCUGGUGUGUUUCCGGGCUGUCCCAUGUGGCUGACAACUCCAGCAGAGGAGCUUCUCCCAGCUUCCCCUUCAGCCCAGAGCAGCAACAGCAGCAGAAGAAGAAAGAGGUCAGGCAGGCAACCAAGCAAUACCUGCAGAGAUGCCAGAGUCAACUUUUCUGCCAGAGUGACUUAUUUGACUGUCUACACUGGGCGGGGGGGGGGGGGCAAUCUAAGGUAUGCAACUUCAGCUACGAGAAUAGCAUAGCUGAAGUCAACGUAUCUUAGAUUGACUUAGAAUCGCUUACUUUGCAUCCUCGCGGCACGGGAUUGACGGCCGCCACUCCCCCGUCGACUCCGCUUCCGCCUCUCACCCUGGUGGAGUUCCAGAGUCAACGGGGAGCGCAUUCGGGGAUCGAUGUAUCGCGUCUAGAAGAGACGCGCUACAUUGAUCCCCGAUAGAUCAAUCACUACCCGCCGAUCCGACCCUCAGACAUUUGCAGUUAAUGGAUUUAACAGUUGCUGAUAUUGACUUGCUGCACCCCACCGCUUGCAACUUCCCAACGUUGCCAUUCUCUCCCUUUCUUCUUCCUCAUCUCUCCCCUCCACAAUAAAAAAAAAGCACACUGAAUUAAAUAAUACCAACAUUUAGAGGACAGUAACAGCAUCAAGCAUUACAAAAGUAAUAAGUAAUGUGGUUUGGGACACUCGCAGGCAAGCUCCCUAAGACCAUAACUGUAUUACUGUUACUCUCAACUCCAAUGAAAUUUAAAUUUGCGUUCAACAUUUUAUUUCAAUUAGGCCCUGAUCCCGCAGGUGGACUCUGUUCCCAUUUGGAUGCAAUAAAACGCGAAGGACAGAAUAUGGCCUAAUUCUUUCCUAUUAUCUUAACCAAAUGUCCUUAAUGCUGCGUUAGUUAAAAAAGAAUUUAGGAUAAAAUUUCCAAAAGCACUUAAGUCACUUUAGUGUCAUGAGCACUUAGGCCAAGAUCCUUAAAGGUACUUAGGUGCCUUACUCCCAUUGAAAUCAAUGGGAAUUUUCAAUGGGAGUAAGAGGCCUAAGUACCUUUAGAAUCUGGGCCUUAUGAACCUGUCUCAUUGAAAGUCAAUGAGUCUUUUAGGUUGUCUUUGAGAGCAGGUCUUCUUAAGCAUUUGUAAUGUGCCCAGUACAAUGGGGCCUCCAAUCCUUACUGGAGCCUCUGGAUGUGACGGCAAUAAAUACAAUUAUUGUAUUGUGUUGCAUUGUAUCAUCAUCUAUGGAACCACAAAAUAUUGCAGUGGCAACUAUAAAUAAUUCUGCAUUCUUCAGCCAAAAUCCAAGCACCAGCGAUUUUAUGGCAUGGCUGUGUUAUCACUGUAAGCGAUGUAAAUUCACAGCUAAUUAGAGGGGCUGAAGAAGGAGAUGAAACUACACUGAAGCUGAUUUGUAGGAUUUAUAAACAAAACAAAAAACCUUAAGUAAGGUAUGGUGAGGAUUCUUUUUUUCCCCGAUUUGUGUAUGUUUGGUUUUCAGUUGUUCCUAUGUUUGGUCUGAAAAACCAGUUUGACAAAGGCAACGUCUGGGGGAGGGGAGAGAAGAAAAACCCUCAGCGUUUGUGUUCAGAGAAUCCCCUUGGCUCAAACUGCUGCCAUAAGUGACCCUGUACUAAUGCCAUUCUGUUGGAAGCACAUGUGGGCUGGAUGAAUCAGUUAUAUCACAAUCUGAUUGUUACUGCUGUUUAAAAGCCACCUGCCAUAGGAAAGGGGAUCUGCAGCCUGAAAUCAUCCAGCCAACCUACAGUCUGUGCCCUCCAGUAGAAUACACACACAGACAGCAACUAUGAUUAGGUAUUAAUAUUAUUAUCACUGCCCCAUUGCAAGUGGAUUUUCUUCUUUUAGCCAGCCCAUGGCAGCCGUUCCUAAGAAAAGCCUGAACCUCACUUCAGUCUCU